GCCCGCCUAGCUCAAUCGGAUAGAGCGUCAGACUCUUAAAUAGGCGAAAGCUUAUCUGAUAUCUGAAGGCUGCGAGUUCGACCCUCGCGGUGGGCU
rfam:Botryobasidium botryosum FD-172 SS1 unplaced genomic scaffold BOTBOscaffold_58, whole genome shotgun sequence.